AGCAACCUGGGUAUUUCUCCUACUCUCUCUAAUUCUUAAGAGUCCUUUUCUUCCCCCUCCUCAGAACAGUAAGGAGAACUUCUCUUGGAACUAUUUCUGCCUGAAUCUGGCAUACACUUCUGGAUUUUUGGCUGAUUUUGACUGCAGACCUGGCAAAACCAGAUGGAAAAAAAGGGUUACUAGACUGACAGCAUGCAGGCAGAUGUUGACUAACACCUUAUUGAAAUCAAGUUAUUCAAAGUUGUGACAUCAUUGUGGACUAUUGGCAUCUUGAAAAGAAAAACAUUCAAUGGCCAUAAUUUGGAUAUGUAUACAAUUUUCACUAUAUCAUUAUGUCAUCCAAGGCUGAAUCAGAAUUAAGAGGUAUGUGGUUGACCACUAAAUGUUCACUGUGAAUGAAGCAAUGUGUAUACCGGCAUCCAAAGG